GGAGCUAAAUGUUCAAAGAAUUAGUGGAAUACCAAAACGGGAUGACCACGAAUUAGACAUGAGCAGAUUAGAUAAUGAUUCGUUGAGGCGGCCGCCGCCACCACCACCUCCUCCUCCUCCUUCACCACCACCACCUCCUCCUCAGUUUGAGAAGGUCAUUGUGAAUCCGAUUGCACCUACUACAGCAACUACAGAAAGGCCUUCUACUCAAUCUCCGAUUCCUCAAAUUUCUGUGAAAUCAUACACAAUUGCAUCUCUUCAGCAAUACACAAACAGC
rnacentral:lncRNA from 1 species